UCAAUUGAUAAUGGGCCCCAGCCAUUCCAGGCGAAUGAUGAGCAAAUUAUCAAUUGACU
rnacentral:pre_miRNA from 1 species